rnacentral:lncRNA from 1 species
GAUACCUCUCCGUCACACGGAGUGACAAAUCCCAGUCUCGAUCCAUACUAACUCAACGAACACCUUCGGAGAUACCUGUAGAGCAUCUUUAUAGUCACCCAGUUACGUUGCGACGUUUGAUACACACAAAGUAUUCCUCCGGUGUCAGUGAGUUAUAUGAUCUCAUGGUCAUAGGAACAAAUAAUUGACACGCAGAAAACAGUAGCAACAAAAUGGCACGAUCAACAUGCUACAUCUAUUAGUUUGGGUCUAGUCCAUCACGUGAUUCUCCUAAUGACGUGAUCC